CAGUAGCCGCGGGAAUACGUAGGGUGCAAGCGUUAAUCGGAAUUACUGGGCGUAAAGCGUGCGCAGGCGGUUAUAUAAGACAGAUGUGAAAUCCCCGGGCUCAACCUGGGAACUGCAUUUGUGACUGUAUAGCUAGAGUACGGCAGAGGGGGAUGGAAUUCCGCGUGUAGCAGUGAAAUGCGUAGAUAUGCGGAGGAACACCGAUGGCGAAGGCAAUCCCCUGGGCCUGUAAUGACGCUCAUGCACGAAAGCGUGGGGAGCAAACAGGAUUAGAUACCCCAGUAGUCCCUGUCUCUUAUAC
rnacentral:rRNA from 1 species